UCCAGACUCCUACGGGAGGCAGCAGUGGGGAAUAUUGCACAAUGGGGGGAACCCUGAUGCAGCGACGCCGCGUGGGUGAAGGAGUAUUUCGGUAUGUAAAGCCCUAUCAGCAGGGAAGAACAAUGACGGUACCUGACUAAGAAGCACCGGCUAAAUACGUGCCAGCAGCCGCGGUAAUACGUAUGGUGCAAGCGUUAUCCGGAUUUACUGGGUGUAAAGGGGGCGCAGACGGCGAUGCAAGCCAGGAGUGAAAGCCCGGGGCCCAACCCCGGGACUGCUCUUGGAACUGCGUGGCUGGAGUGCAGGAGGGGCAGGCGGAAUUCCUGGUGUAGCGGUGAAAUGCGUAGAUAUCAGGAGGAACACCGGUGGCGAAGGCGGCCUGCUGGACUGCAACUGACGUUGAGGCCCGAAAGCGUGGGGAGCAAACAGGAUUAGAUGCCCCUGUA
rnacentral:rRNA from 1 species